AAACCAAGCCACCCAGCCCACCAAACCAAGCCACCCAGCCCACUAAACCAAGCCACCCAGCCCACUAAACUAAGCCACCCAGCCCACCAAACCAAGCCACCCAGCCCACCAAACCAAGCCACCCAGCCCACUAAACCAAGCCACCCAGCCCACCAAACCAAGCCACCCAGCCCACUAAACCAAGCCACCCAGCCCACCAAACCAAGCCACCCAGCCCACUAAACCAAGCCACCCAGCCCACCAAACCAAGCCACCCAGCCCACUAAACCAAGCCACCCAGCCCACCAAACCAAGCCUCCCAGCAAGCUACACACCAAGCGUCUCGUCUCUCCCUAGCUGUUCUAUCCUGUCCUACAGCUCAUAUAGAGACAAUGUAUUAUAACUGUACAUUACAUAUAUCCUCUAAUAUAUAAAUAUAUAUAUAUAUAUGUAUACCCUGUCAGUAGCUGCCCUCCACUCUACUGUCAGUAGCUGCCCUCCACUCUACUGUCAGUAGCUGCCCUCCACUCUACUGUCAGUAGCUGCCCUCCACUCUACUGUCAGUAGCUGCCCUCCACUCUACUGUCUGAGCCAGUGGUGUAGUGGAGGGUCAACACAUGUAGACGCCGGUCACCUUUUCUUUACUAUCGGGGGGAAAUGAAUUGAAAUAUAGGGAUUGAAUGUUACCUUUUUCACUGGAAUGGUGUGGACUGGGUUACGAUUCAGUAGAAUUGGGUUCAACUCUGGUUUCAACUGGACUGGGUUACGAUUCAGUAGGAUUGGGUUCAACUCUGGUUUCAACUGGACUGGGGUUACGAUUCAGUAGGAUUGGGUUCAACUCUGGUUUCAACUGGACCCGGUUACGAUUCAGUAGGAUUGGGAUCAAAUCUGGGUUCAACUGGACCGGGGUGAGAUUCAGUAGGAUUGGGAUCAACUCUGGUUUCAACUGGACUGGGUUACGAUUCAGUAGGAUUGGGAUCAACUCUGGUUUCAACUGGACCGGGGUUACGAUUCAGUAGGAUUGGGAUCAACUCUGGUUUCAACUGGACCGGGGUUAUGAUUCAGUAGGCUUGGGGUCAACUCUGUUUUCAACUGGACCGGGGUGAGAUUCAGUAAGAUUGGGAUCAACUCUGGGUUCAACUGGACCGGGGUGAGAUUCAGUAAGAUUGGGAUCAACUCUGGUUUCAACUGGACCGGGGUUACGUUUCAGUAGGAUUGGGUUCAACUCUGGUUUCAACUGGACCGGGGUUAUGAUUCAGUAGGCUUGGGGUCAACUCUGGUUUCAACUGGACUGGGUUACGAUUCAGUAGGAUUGGGAUCAACUCUGGUUUCAACUGGACCGGGGUUACGAUUCAGUAGGAUUGGGAUCAACUCUGGUUUCAACUGGACCGGGGUUAUGAUUCAGUAGGCUUGGGGUCAACUCUGUUUUCAACUGGACCGGGGUGAGAUUCAGUAAGAUUGGGAUCAACUCUGGGUUCAACUGGACCGGGGUGAGAUUCAGUAAGAUUGGGAUCAACUCUGGUUUCAACUGGACCGGGGUUACGUUUCAGUAGGAUUGGGUUCAACUCUGGUUUCAACUGGACCGGGGUUAUGAUUCAGUAGGCUUGGGGUCAACUCUGGUUUCAACUGGACCGGGGUUAUGAUUCAGUAGGCUUGGGGUCAACCCUGUUUUCAGUUCAGACAAUUUGAAAUGCUACUUGUCAAUAGUCAGAAUCUACAUAGAAAAAUAAUUUGUUAUUUCAAUACAAUCAUUGAAAUCCUGAGUUGAGGUCAGCACUCACAUGUUCACACAAAUCUUCCAUUGACAUCAACAUAUGAUCUACACAGAAGUCUACUUUUAAGUGUGCACAGAGAUCUCAAGGACUAGGAUUCCUCCCAGACUGACUUUGGGUUCACUUUGGGUCCGAUUCAGACUUGAGAUAAGUAGACUUACAGUAAAUCAUUUGUUUUUGUUUUACUGAAGUCCACAUUUAGUAAUAAACUCAAGUCUGAAUUGUGACCUUCCUGACCUAAUUUUGAUCUGAAAUGGGGUUUGACCCGAAACCCUGCUGUCUGUCUGUCCCCCUUCAGGGCUGUCUGUCAUUCUGCUGCUCACGUAGACAACCAGACAGUCUGGUUUUAAUCCAGAUGUUUAACAUAGCUGACAUUAGUUUUGUAUGUCUGCCUGUUUGUAUUAAGAUUAAAAAAUAUAACAUGGUGGAAGUUGCUCUCUCUGUGAGAUUCCCCCAAUAACACAAAUAUAUUAGUGUGGGUGUAGUGUGUGUCUAGUCAAAUGUAGUGCACUAUAUAGGGAAUAGGGUGCUAUUUGGGACUCAGCCGAGGUGUAGUUAAGACCGUUUCUAGAUAAUGUUUUAAAGAGGAGCACUGUGUUGUUUAGGGUUACAGAAGUCCUCUAUCUUUCCCAACACUCCCAAAGUUUUCCAGAAGUCCUCUAUCUUUCCCAACACUCCCAAAGUUUUCCAGAAAUCCCGGUUGGACGAUUCCUGGAAUGGCGAUCGGAUAAGCAGGAAAUACGGGAAUCGUCCAACUAGGAUUUGUUAACCUCCUCAAAGUUCCAUGGUAUUUAACAGAGUUUUUGCAACGCUACUAGGUGUCUAGAUAACAUCUUUAAACAGGAGGGUGUAUUGAGGUAAUACUGUAGUGUUGAUGGCACCAGUUAACUGACCAGUCUGAUUUUAGGAAGAAACAACUCACUCUGGACACAGAUCCAGUUACCUGACCAGUCUGAUUUUAGGAAGAAACGACUCACUCUGGACACAGAUCCAGUUAACUGACCAGUCUGAUUUUAGGAAGAAACGACUCACUCUGGACACAGAUCCAGUUAACUGACCAGUCUGAUUUUAGGAAGAAACGACUCACUCUGGACACAGAUCCAGUUAACUAACCAGUCUGAUUUUAGAAGAAACAACUCAGUCUGGACACUGAUCCUAAAUUGAGAUGUAUUCUCAUCAAUAGCAGCAUUAGAGCCACAUUUUUAUAGUGCAAAAGCAAUGUGCCAAAAUGUACGGUUAAACUUGUUAUAAUCUGGAGGUUGGAUUUCAUUUAACACUUUUCUUCAAUGUGUGUUUAUAAAGAGACGUUUGUUAUGGCAUCGCUCCGUUUACUGAACUCUAGUGAGGCAAUCGCCUCUUUUAUAACGCGUAUUGUUGAAGAAAAGUUUUCAAAUUAAAUCUCACUGUGAGAUUAUGAGGUUUACUGUCAUUUUGUUUCGCGCUAUGAAAAUAGGAACCGUUCGUCAGGAUCUGGGAACCUUCCCCUGUUGAUGAAAUGGAACAGAGUGGGUCUCGUCGAAACUGUCUGAAUCCCGAACGGCACCCAGUUUAUGGUCUGGGAACCUUCCCCUGUUGAUGUUGAUGAAAUGGAAACAGAGUGGGUCUCGUAGAAACUGUCUGAAUCCCGAACGGCACCCAGUUCCCGAAUUAGUCCACUACUUUUGACCACAAACCUAUUUUUUAUUUUACCUUUAUUUUACUAGGCAAGUCAGUUACAAAUUCUUAUUUUCAAUGAUGGCCUGGGAACAGUGGGUUAACUGCCUGUUCAGGGGCAGAACGACAGAUUUGUACCUUGUCAGCUCAGGGAUUUGAACUUGCAACCUUCCGGUUACUAGUCCAACGCUCUAACCACUAGGCUACCCUGCCGCCCCUGUAGAGCUCUGGUCAACAAGUAAUGCGCUUAUAUAGGGAAUAGGGUGCCAUUUUGGAUUGAGACACUAUUGUUCAACUGAAAAUAUAAUUUGAUCAGGAGGUGUUUUAAAUGUUUUUAUUUUUGAUUGUGUCCGACAGCCUUUAUCCAAAACGGGGAUGUGCACGCAGGUCACGUUUGUGUCUUAAAGAGUGUGAGUUUGUCCCAAAUGACACCCUACUCCCUAUGUAGUGCACUACUACAGUAACCACAGAGGGUUUAGCCAAUCAGAGCUCUGGUUAAAAGUAGUGCACUACUACAGUAACCACAGAGGGUUUAGCCAAUCAGAGCUCUGGUUAAAAGUAGUGCACUACUACAGUAACCACAGAGGGUUUAGCCAAUCAGAGCUCUGGUUAAAAGUAGUGCACUACUACAGUAACCACAGAGGGUUUAGCCAAUCAGAGCUCUGGUUAAAAGUAGUGCACUACUACAGUAACCACAGAGGGUUUAGCCAAUCAGAGCUCUGGUUAAAAGUAGUGCACUACUACAGUAACCACAGAGGGUUUAGCCAAUCAGAGCUCUGGUUAAAAGUAGUGCACUACUACAGUAACCACAGAGGGUUUAGCCAAUCAGAGCUCUGGUUAAAAGUUGUGCACUACUACAGUAACCACAGAGGGUUAGCCAAUCAGAGCUCUGGUUAAAAGUAGUGCACUAUAUAGGGAAUAGUGCUCCAUUUGGGCAGUAGUUCAUCUGGUUGUAGGUAGUGUACUAUAUAGGGAACAGGGCUCCAUUUGGGGAGUAGUUCAUCUGGUUGUAGGUAGUGUACUAUAUAGGGAACAGGGCUCCAUUUGGGGAGUAGUUCAGCUGGUUGUAGGUAGUGUACUAUAUAGGGAACAGGGCUCCAUUUGGGGAGUAGUUCAUCUGGUUGUAGGUAGUGUACUAUAUAGGGAACAGGGCUCCAUUUGGGGAGUAGUUCAUCUGGUUGUAGGUAGUGUACUAUAUAGGGAACAGGGCUCCAUUUGGGGAGUAGUUAAUCUGGUUGUAGGUAGUGUACUAUAUAGGGAACAGGGCUCCAUUUGGGGAGUAGUUCAUCUGGUUGUAGGUAGUGUAAAUACAAAAUAUAUAAUGUCCUUUUUUUCCCACAGCAGAAGAAUGGAUGUUUUUUAAAACCUUUUCUAUUUAAUAUAUAUUUAAAAUGUUGUGCUUAUUUCUUUCUGUUGAUUUGUUGUCUUCUAUGUGGACAGGGACAGGAAAGAGACCUUUUCAUUUGGUUUGUUAAAUACGUCUUUUCACAACGUUGUCUUGCCUCAAUAAGUUUUUUUUUCUUCCUUCAAUAAGGGACAACCUUUGUAUCGGUGAAGCUGAUUUGACUAGAACUUCAAAUAGAUCCUUUUCUCCGUUGUGAAUGAGAAACCACUUCUUCAAGUUCACCUGCAGCCUUGAUUCCAAUGCACCUUUUAUACAGAGCAACGUGUAACAGUUCAGAUGGGGACGACUGGACAUGAUGACGCAGAAAACACAUUACAUGUAUCCAGUAGCAAAUUAAUGUUUUUAUUCUGUGUUUAAAGAAAUAAAUCGAUUUUCUAUCCUGUUAGAGGUUACCGGGGUCGGAGGUCAAUCACUUUUCUAUCAUGUUAGAGGUUACCGGGGUCGGGGGUCAAAAUCACUCCUAUCAUGUUAUAGGUUACCAGGGUCGGGGGUCAAAAUCACUCCUAUCAUGUUAUAGGUUACCGGGGUCGGGGGUCAAAAUCACUUUUCAAAUUCCAGUCAAAUGAGAAUGUUCACUGACAUUCCAGUUCCAACUGUCAUCAAUGCCUUUCAAUAAAGAACAUUUGGAAUUCGG